rnacentral:rRNA from 1 species
UACGGGGGGGGCAAGCGUUGUUCGGAAUUACUGGGCGUAAAGGCUCGUAGGUGGCCAACUAAGUCAGACGUGAAAUCCCCAGGCUCAACUUGGGAACUGCGUCUGAUACUGGAUGGCUUGAAUUCGGGAGAGGGAUGCAGAAUUCCAGGUGUAGCGGUGAAAUGCGUAGAUAUCUGGAGGAAUACCGGUGGCGAAGGCGGCAUCCUGGACCGAGAUUGACACUGAUGAGCGAAAGCUAGGGGAGCAAACGGG